rnacentral:lncRNA from 1 species
GCAACAUGGGAACAGCUGUCUUUCCGCGUGGAUUUUGUUGCACUCUCUCCCAUCACUUCAGUCUUCAUUCUCCGACACUAUACUUCUUCUUUGACAUUUUUACCCCUGCCGUUUUUCUAGAAAUGUAUAUAAUGUAAUUGAAAAUAGAAUAUAGACAUGUUUUAUUGCUAUAGCUCGAGAUGCGUGAUUGGAUGAAUUAAGAAUAUUGACAAGGAAGGUGAAGUGUUGAAAUUAACUUUUCUAUCAAGGUUCAAUUUUAACCUUUUAUAAACAUUCUAUUAGGGAACAAGAUGACACACCAUUGGACAAC